GACGAACGCUGGCGGCGUGCUUAACACAUGCAAGUCGAACGGAAAGGCCCGGCUUUUGUUGGGUGCUCGAGUGGCGAACGGGUGAGUAACACGUGAGUAACCUGCACUUGACUUUGGGAUAACUUCAGGAAACUGGGGCUAAUACCCGAUAGGAGAUCCUGCUGCAUGGUGGGGGUUGGAAAGUUUCGGCGGUUGUGGAUCGACUCGAGGCUUAUCAGCUUGUUGGUGGGGUAGUGGCUUACGAAGGCUUUGACGGGUAGCCGGCCUGAGAGGGUGACCGGCCACAUUAGGCCUACGAUACGGCCCAGACGCCUACGGGAGGCAGUAGUCGGGAGUAUUACACAAUGGCCGGAAGCCUGAUGCAGAAACGCCGCGUGCGGGAUGACGGCCUUCGGGUUGUAAACCGCUUUCGCCUGUGACGAAGCGUGAGUGACGGUAAUGGGUAAAGAAGCACCGGCUAACUACGUG
rnacentral:rRNA from 1 species